GCGGAGCCUAGCGGAGCCGGGAGCAGGGCCGUACAGUAUCGCGAGAGCGGGAGAGGUGGCUCUGGGCCUCGUCGAGUCUUCCCGAGAUUCCCUGGGUACAAAGUUUCCCGUGUGGCUGGGAAACUACCAGAAUGCACGCUGAUGAGAGUACACUGAGGCAGUACAGAGACAGUCCUGCGGUCUGAAGCCUUCAUUUCUGAAGUCCCAGCAGUGUUUGUAUCUGCCUCUUCCCAGAUGAGAAGGUUGUAUUAUCUUUGCUCAAGGUCUCCUGCAUUGCAGGCAGAUUCUUUACCAGCUGAGCCACAAGGGAAGCCCAAGAAUAUUG